UACUUAGCUCAGUGGUAGAGCGCUCGACUGUUAAUCGAUCGGUCGUGGGUUCAAAUCCCUCAGUGG
rnacentral:tRNA from 1 species